ACUUUGGCCCCAACUCCCGCUGUGUCCGAGCCCUGGCUAAGAGAGAGGACCUGACAGGGUGGCAGAUAGAAGAUCUGGAUCCCCAUUUCCUCAACUCCAUGUUUCAAGGAAGGAGCAGAAACUCCCCCAGUGAGCUCUGCUGACCUGUGUUAGCACCCAGAAGGGACAGCAGAGGUGCGCGUGGCAGGGCAUGGAGUGUCUUGGAGUCUUACUCAGCACUUCUUUCUCCUCGCAGGCCCACUGCUGACACCACAGACACUGCUGGCACGCCUGUUGGUGGUGGCAGGGAGCCCUGUUGCAGACCGCAAACUCCAAGCCACUGCCUUACUGCUCAUGCAAAACCUCCACAGCAGGAUCCACAGAGCUGUGGGGGCCAUGUGGGCUGCUGAGAUCCCCCUGCUGCUACAGUGUCUCCAAGUUCCUGAGGGCGUUGCUGGAGACCAUGGAGGAUGAGGCCUGGACCAAGGCCCUGAGCUGUGAGCUGAGCCAGUGGCUGAGCAGCUCUCCCAGCAGCUCUGGAGAAAAGGUGGGUUCCCCUCAGCUCUAGCCAGCAGUGCAGCCACAGGUGUCCAACUGGGGCUGGGGCUACAGCUGGUGCUCUGCCCACACAGGCUGUUCAUGCUGCUUCCCCAGUCUGUGCAGCGCAGAGGGCCUUUCCCUGCAAACUGCCCAGGGACUGGCUAAAGCUCAGCCCUGCACCUGCUCUCAGUGACUCCCAGGGAGUGUGGGUCUUUCCCACCUGGCCCUCUGCCAGCAGGUCAGGCUGCUGCCACAUCUCAGCUUAUUCCUUCCCUUCCCAUCCAGUCUUUCCUGUACAAGGCUCUAGGGACAGCGCUAGGAGCUUGUAAGGGUGUCCUCCACAUCCAAGAGAAGCUGCUGCCACACCUGGAGGAAGCAAAUGCAGAGGUGUCAUCUGAGGCCCAGAUGAGCUCUCCUCUCCUCCAGCUUCUGGAAUGAUCUCUAUUCUCAGCCAUGCUGCUGAGAGCAACUUCCACCCAGUCCUGGACACACUCACCAUGUUUGCAUCCAGGCUGUGCAAAGGCCAGAAUGCGAGGAUUUCCAGAUGGAGCUGGACAGUGUGAGAGCUCAGGCCACACGCAGCGCUCUCAUCCUCGCCCAUGGCAGCUCAGCACUGCGUGCCUCCAAGGAACAGCUGCUCGCCCACCUGGAGGGAGACAUCAUGGGCAGCAUCCUGAUGCUCUACAGCUGCAGCUGCUGGAACUUGCUGAAGAAGUAUUUCUUGGGCAACCCCGUCUCCCCAGUGCCCCUCAAGGUGGUUCUGGCCCUGGAGCAGUUGAGGUAAGGGCCAGAAUCACAAAAUCACAGAAUGUCAGGAACUGGAAGGAACCUCAGAAGAUCUUCUAGUCCAAUCCCCCCGCUUUAGCAGGAACACCUAGAUUAGGUCACACAGGAAUGUGUCCAGGCAGUAGUAUGCAUCAUAAGUAAUGAAUGUGAAAAGGCAUUAAAUAUAUUACUAGAAUGAACUUUUAUGUGACUAUUAUAAUUUUCAAGUACUAUUGAAUAACAACAAUGGAAAAGUGUUUGUAUGAAUGUACUUGGGUAAUUAAUGGCAAAGAUUGAAGACAUCAUGUAGUGCCAAAUCAAAGACUGUAAAUACAUUCUUUUAAAGAGACUAAUGUACCCAUUGCUAGUUAAUAAUUAAAUAUAUUGCUAAUUAGUAACACAGUGAAACUUCAGAGCUUUAAUGUUAUGGCAUAAUUCAUUUUGACUUCAGUACUGUUAAGAUUAAUGCAUACCUCUUCAUGUAAGUAGCAAUGAAAUAAAUACAUAAAUAAAUUCUCCAUUACGUUGCCAAAUCUUUGCUAAAAUUCAGCUGCAUUAUACAGUAACUUAUUAUCUACUACUCUACAUAGGAGGAGAUUACAGUAUUAGAAAUGGGGCCAAUUAUUGAAAUCAGUGACAGUAACCACUCUUGUGUCUCUUCAUUUUUCUUCUUCAACUCAUGUGGAAACUUAUUUCACUUCUCAGUGGUCUGGAAUUCAAACAAAAGUUUAAGCUGUUACCUUUUUACAGUCCUUUAAAUGCAUUGCUUUUGCCAGAUGGAAGGUUCUACUAUAUGCUUCAUUCACAUAAAAAAAAAAAAAAAAGAAAAAAAGAAAAAAGGAAAAAAAACACAACCCGCAUUCUUUCCCAGCUUCAUUUUUUUCUGCUAACACACGCGUACUUGCAUGUUUUGAUCAGUGUAUUUUUUAAUUGUGUAAUUUACAUUCAUACAGGUUUAACAGCCAAGAGGUACUGGUUCAUAAGUAAACCCUGUCUCAUUUAUACAUAAAUGUAUUAAUCUGAGAGGUCACCCAGCACAUAAAUUUAAAAGUGCUACAGUAUUAAUUUGUUUAAAAUGAAUGGAAACUACCUCUUCAUGCUUAAGUAGCCAUCUGAGUCCAAACAGGAAUGGUCAUGCCAUUGUUAAUUUUCCUAUUAUUACAGGAUUGCAGAGGCCUUCUUUUGCUAGAUCAUGGCUGAUGGGAUUGUCACACUGUAGUGGAUUAAACAGAUGACAUGGAGCUGGGAGCCUGCAGUGGCUGUUUCAAUAGACUGAGACUCUCAGAUUCUCACUCAUGCCAUAGGCAGCACUGACAAAAUGCAGUGCAAAAAUUUAGAUGUUCUUUCAGGAUGUGAACUAAUUACCAGGCUAAAGAGAGAAAUGCAGUAAGAAUAUAAUACUUCCUAGAACAGCACCAAGUCAGGCAGCAUGGUCUUGACUGCUAUGGUGAAAUAAUAACCCCAAUGAGUGCAGGAGUAAUGUCUUCAAAAAUAAACUCAAAUUCUAGUCUCAGUAGAGACACUGGCACCGAUUUUCUCAUCUCCAGAGAUCUUUACCUCUUGCUUGUAAUUGCAUGUGUUCUGCACGGUCACUUUGCAGCUCUUUCCCUCCUUCUGCUACUGAUCUCUGGUACUAGGAAAGGAGAAAGACAAAUAUUGAUUUCCAAGUGUGGUUGGUCUCUUUCAUACAACCCAUCACUGUCCUUUCCAGUAUCUUUCAUCGCAGGACUUGACAUUUACCUGGAAAUAGACCUAUCUGCUCCUGUAUAUCACACUGUGCAUGCACAGAGAUUUAAGAGAAGAAGAAAAAAAAUAUUGAGGAAAGGGAAUGAUGAAUACUACCAUUUAGCAGAAUCCAUUCAGCCAGCCCAUUAAUUUCUUGUCAAAUCUCAUCAGGGAAGAGGAGCUUAAACUCUUCAAAUAUCACAGCUGAAGAGUCUAAGUUACUGUCAUGCUAAAUUACUAAUGAUGUUAGUCUAAAUUACUGUUGAUGCUAGUCUUUGUAUGUGAGAGAGGACUGUACAUAUUGCCCUCCCAGAUCCAUUUAGUCCAGUAUUAUCUCUCUCAUAGUUCCCAGGUAGUCAAAAGCAAAAGUCAUAUACUGUUGGUAAUUUUUGCAUACUAGGUCUAUAAGAUCUUUAGUACCUUGAAAACUUAUUUAAUUCCAGGAACUGAAACUUGCAAAGGAGGUGCCAUGGAAUCCAGAGUACCACUGUUCUUUUCAGUAAGUCUGCACAAGCCUAGCAAAGGAAUAACAAAGUAGAAGAAGACAGUAAUGUCAAUCCAUGACAAGAGAAGAUUUGGACUUUUAAAAUUUUAUUCUUCAACAAUUUAGAGGAAGCCAACUAUAUACUUUCUUAUGCCUUGAUUCCAGUUAGCCUGGAAUUUCAGAAUUAUUGUACCUGGACUUUCUGAACACUACAAAUCAUCCAGUUUCAUCUAGAAAACUUGCAUUAUAUACAAACAAGUUCACAAAGUCAUUUCAUUAGUUGGUGGACUCAGCAAUGCUACACCAAUGUAAUAGAUGAUUGCAGUGUACCUCAUGUCUUAAGAGGCAAGCAACGGGCAUGUGUGGGACAAGUAGUGUACCCAGAUGGCCUCCCAAAGAUCAAUGAUAUAAGUUAAGAUGUUUGGAAACAUCUUGGCCUUUAUAGCCCUAAAUCAGGUGAUCAGCAAUCAUUUAAAACUAUCUAGGCAUCCAAAAAUCAAAAUUAUCUGUAACAACUCAAUACACAGGAUUAUGCUGUUAAUUAUCUCACUUUUGACAUUAGCUAUUAUUUCUUUCUCUAGAGAAAAAGAAAACAACAAAAAUAAAACAAGAUGUCAACUGAUUUAUGCUAGCUUCUUGGCAUCUAAAGUUGGAGGGGGUAAUCAUUAUUAAGCUUUAGAGAACAAGGUUUAAUAGCAACUGCUACCUUUAAUUGAAGUAUUAUUGGCAUGUUGAAUGCUAUACAGGUGAUCUGGUUCUUGUUAACACCCAUGGAGCUAGUAGCUGAAAACACAGAUUUUAAUAGCAAAGCAACUACAUCAACAACUCACCCUUCCAUCCCUUCCUUCUCUUCUCUAGAUAUCCUCCAGCAAAUGCAAGUAUGAAGAACAUUAGUAAUUGCUUUUUAGUACAAAUUUUGUUUCAACAUCACUAAUGGUGAGCAGUAUCAUCUCCCUCGAUGUUUGCUAUUUUGCUGGACUGCUACUCAUACACUGCUAAGAAACACUACAUUAUUUUAAGCUUAAACUGCUUUAACUUCUUCUUCCAGCAACUGGAUUUUAUGUCUUUACCAGUAGUUUUGAAAAACCCUCCCAUAACACAUAUAUCACUUUUCAGCCUCCUCUUUUAUGGAAAGAAAUUCUGAGCUACUCUGAAUUAAAAUAAUUUCAUGAGCAUCCUUUGAAUUCUCAUUGUCUUUUAAUGUUCUUCCAGAGGGAGUGUUAGACCUGGAAAAAAUGUUACAUUAAAGGCAAGACCAUUUCCACCCUUGUGUUUGAUAUUACACUUACACUAAUCACAGGUCUUUUUUCAUUACAUUACAAACAUUUUUUUUUAAGAAAAUCCUUCAUUUUAUCUCACUUCUAAAAUACAUGUAAAUUACAUAAUCAUUUCAUAAGUAAUUCUGAAAAAAAUAAAAAUUACUAUGAAUUCAGUCCUUGUCUAGCAUGUUUUUCUUGAAAAGAAUUUUGUUACAGUAAUUUUCCUACUUGCUUUGUUGGUAAAUGUGCAAACUCUAAUAGUCUUUUCAACACUGUACAUUUACCUUUUGUGUUAUUUUAUUAUACAAUGAAUUUAUACAAUUUAUACAAUGAAAUAUAGACAAUAUAGAAAUGUUAUAUUAAGAAUUUUCUCAUUUUUAUUUUGAAAUAUCAUUGCAGAAUGCAGAGAUUAAAAUCUCUUCCUGAAUCGGCUGAGAGAUGAUAUAAAUACAGCCUUUCUACUACUCUUCUAGGAUGCAAUGGUCAUCUUGCAGGUCACCGCCUGUGUUACAUUAAACCACUGUUUUUCCACUAACCUGGCUACCAAGGCUAACUGGAAAUGUGACAGGCAGAAGAGAGAAGCUGGACACAUGGCACAUAUUAUUUGCUUUAGAAACUAGAAGAGAUUUCUUUGUGCCAAGAGCAUAUGAAUAAAUGAUUUUGACUAAGUCAAAAUAAUGUUAUAUUUAAGAGUUUUUAUUCUCAAUGUGGAAAUUCUUGAGAGCCAAAUGUGCCUCUCUAAUACUGCAAACUUAUCAUGAAAUAAAUUGUUUCCUUGAAAAGAAAAGAAAAAAGAGAUCUGUUUUUCUCACUGCUGAGACUUGCAAGAAGAGUUUUAUAUAUUUAACUGCUAAUAUACCAUCUGCUUUAGCUGCUCCUUUGAGGCUAGUUCUUCUAAUUGUAUCUUUAACAGA
ensembl:lncRNA